rnacentral:rRNA from 1 species
UUGAACGCUGGCGGCAGGCCUAACCCAUGCCAGUCGAACGGUAACAGGAAGAAGCUUGCUUCUUUGCUGACGAGUGGCGGACGGGUGAGUAAUGUCUGGGAAACUGCCUGAUGGAGGGGGAUAACUACUGGAAACGGUAGCUAAUACCGCAUAACGUCGCAAGACCAAAGAGGGGGACCUUCGGGCCUCUUGCCAUCGGAUGUGCCCAGAUGGGAUUAGCUAGUAGGUGGGGUAACGGCUCACCUAGGCGACGAUCCCUAGCUGGUCUGAGAGGAUGACCAGCCACACUGGAACCGAGACACGGUCCAGACUCCUACGGGAGGCAGCAGUGGGGAAUAUUGCACAAUGGGCGCAAGCCUGAUGCAGCCAUGCCGCGUGUAUGAAGAAGGCCUUCGGGUUGUAAAGUACUUUCAGCGGGGAGGAAGGGAGUAAAGUUAAUACCUUUGCUCAUUGACGUUACCCGCAGAAGAAGCACCGGCUAACUCCGUG